rnacentral:rRNA from 1 species
AGGACGAACGCUGGCGGCGUGCUUAACACAUGCAAGUCGAGCGGUAAGGCUCCUUCGGGAGUACACGAGCGGCGAACGGGUGAGUAACACGUGAGCAAUCUGCCCUUCACUUUGGGAUAACUUCCGGAAACGGAAGCUAAUACCGAAUACGACCACUUCAGGCAUCUGAUGGUGGUGGAAAGUUCCGGCGGUGAAGGAUGAGCUCGCGGCCUAUCAGCUAGUUGGUGAGGUAACGGCCCACCAAGGCGACGACGGGUA